CAGAGUGUUGUCACCUGUCCCUCGUGUCUACUGUACCCUUCUUUAUUGUGUCUCUCUUUCCUCUGGUAGUGGCCGGUUCGUUUUGGCUGUAUGUUUGCCUAACGUGUUGUUUUGCUAGUUUCGAGUUCUUCUAGUGUAAGUCUAGUUUUGUUUUGUUUUUUUUGCUUUUUCCUGUUGAGUCCAGCUACUUGUUUCUUUGAGUAGUUUUUUUCUCCUAGGUUUUCUCUUAUAGUUCCUUUUUAGUUUAAGUUUUUUCUCACCUAUUAUCUAGGAGUUAUCCCUCUAGUCUUUUGCUAGUAUUCAAGUCUCUAGUCUAGUUUAGUUUUUCCCUUAGCUAUUUACCCGUAUGGGUCUAGCUUCUUUAUUUCCUUGAUUGUUUUUUUUUUUUUUUUGGUCUCAAUUUAUUUAUUUUGGUCUCAGAACAAAGACUGGUUAUCUACUCUUGUUUUUUUUAUCUUCUCUACUUUCUCUCAUUUUGAAUCUUUUAUUUUUUUCUUGCUUUUCUGAUUUUUGGGAAGGGUUUUCUUGUUCCCUGUCUUGUUUGUGUUGUCUAGUGUGCUAGUUGUUUUGUCCUGUCUUGUGGUGUCUUUUGUUUCUCCCCCUCCAGCUCUGCCCGGCCGUCUGUGGUUCCCUGCCUGCUGGUUCCCUCAUCUUGGCAGCUGUAUUGGUUCUGGCAGUGGUCCUAGCUGCUGCCCCCUAUGCUGGUUCCAGUGGUCACCCUCAGCUAUCCCGUCAUUACCCCAGUAUCCCCUCCUGUUGGACUUUCACUGCACGUGCCCUUCUGUGCCCUGUUUUUGUCAAUAAACCCUUGUACUUUGUCAUUCUGCGAUUGGGUCUUUCCUGCCAGUGCCUGACAUAUUCAUUAUUCCAAUUAAGCUAGAAGCAAACAAAAAAACCAAACAACAACAACAACAACAAAAAAAUCCCCACAAGACAAGCUGGUAAAACCAGCGAGCUAAUUCAAAUCAACAAUGUUAUAAAAUCAACAAUGUUAUAAAGGUUCAAUACCUGAUCGAUCAGAAAUCUCAAUUGUAACCUUAGAUGUAACGCCACUAUGAUGACACUAUACCAGCACGUUUAUUUAUUAUUAUUUCAAAGACACAUCUUUAUGUUUUUUGACUAUUUAAAAACAUCAUUGUAAUUGUUUCUGAUGUAUUGUGUGGCUAAAACAUGACAGUUUCUUUUUAACUUCCAGUUUUCAGUUUACCCUUCUUGUUAUUUUUCACUGAGUAAAACACAAGCAGCAGUUUCUGUUCCUCUUGCAAGAGGUAAAGGUUUUUUAUUUUCUUUCUCAAUUCUUUUCUUAUGACACUGGAUGUCAACCAGUUUCAACCAAUUAUAAUUUGUUCCUUACAGAGUCAGAGUAUAUUUAUUUCCUGUCAUAUUUGUCUCAUUUAUUAUAAUUUGUGAUCUUGUUGCUUGUAAUCAUGUAUGAUCUGGUGGUGUAAAAUCCUUCUCUGUAGAUCACCUAAUAUUACAGUGUAAUAUAGUGUCAAAUUAAAAUGGGAACAAUCAUCAGUUUGAAUGCUUAAAUAAUAUUAAAUUAUGCACACUCAUAUUUGUCUCAUUUAUUAUAAUUUGUGAUCUUGUUGCUUGUAAUCAUGUAUGAUCUGGUGGUGUAAAAUCCUUCUCUGUAGAUCACCUAAUAUUACAGUGUAAUAUAGUGUCAAAUUAAAAUGGGAACAAUCAUCAGUUUGAAUGCUUAAAUAAUAUUAAAUUAUGCACAAAAGCACAGAAUCUCAAAACACCAACCAUUUAGUUUGACAUUUUGCUGCUGUGUUAUUGAGUUAUUACUGCAUCAGUUUACUUGGUUUUUCGUUGAUUUGACCUGUUGGGUGUGCCAAAAAAUAUUUGCAAUGAUGGAAGGAUUAUCUUAUUAUCACUCCAUGUCUUUAAGUUACUGAAAUAAAUGUAACAUUCGCAAUUAAGCAAAUAUUAAGCAAUUUACAGUUUGCCAUUUGGAUUGUGGUUUAACUAUACUGUUCUUUCUGUUCAGAUUGACCUUCAGAGUUCCUAUUCAACAAAGAAAAUGAAAUCGGUAAGCUAAUAAUAAAUCCACUAUUUUUAAAAGAUAUUUUUGUAGGGGACCUACUACUACUAGAGACAGCAGGGACUUGAUUUCCAGGAACAUUUAAUGCAAACAAACCCUUUUGACCUGUGAAAAACAAACCUUUCAGUGCCGAGUGCAAUGACACAGUGAUAGAUAUACGGGAAGAAAUGUAAUGAACAAUAAUACCAAAUUAGAUUAGAUGAUUUAAAAUGUACGCAGCACAGAACAUUGAAAUCUUUGGACAGAAAUGUGAGGAUUUUUGUUGCUCUUCUGCAUAAACAAGUCCGAGUCUAGAAUUACAAACAAAACAUUUUUAUUACCAUUUCAGACAACUUAGAAAAACACAGACAACACAAAAACAAGCUUGUCUUGCCUACGAUAUAUUUACAUCGUGCUCUUUUUUUCUGCAAAUAUUUACAUUCAGUAUAUACAUGAAGUGGAAAUGGAAAAAAAACAACACUUGCCACAGUAAGAUUUAAUAGUAAUAAUACCACUGUUAAUAGUACGACAAUAUAUAUGCGUGUGUACAUAUAUACAUUGCAAAGUUUGAAAGGACAAAGGAUAACAAAACAAUAAAGUAUAGAUAUACAAAACUGAGGUGUUAUGUGUGGUUAUCGUGUUUCCAACACAGUUUAAGUUCUGAUAUGGAUUUGAUGGAUGGAUACAAAGCAAACAAGUGAACCAAAAUCAUCUGCUCACUCAUUCAUGUCCAUUUCUAGAGCUAAAGGACAAACAAAUGCUUAUUUUUCAAUGCCGAACAAGCUAGCAAACAGCUAACUGCAAUGGUCUGAAAUUAAUGAAAAGAACCCAAAAAUAAAUCCUCACUCAUGUUCAUUCAAACCUGUAUGACUUUCUUCAAUGGAACACAAAAGGAGGAAUUCCGAAGAAUGUUCUUGUAAUUUUUGUUCAUGCAAUUACAUUUAAUAAUGCAUAAACAUCAAAUAAUGUCAUAAAUGUCAUCCAUAUUAAUCUGUGCACUGGAUUCGGAUACCAUAUGAUAGUUUAAUUUGUAACUGCAUUUAUUAAUUUUGGGGGAAUUAAUAAAUUAAAAAUCAUUCAGAUUUCUAAUUUGUGUUCAUUUCAUGAAAAAUUAUGAAAUUUGCAUGUAGCAGAAAAAUGUUUACAAAUGUGAAUGAAAUUGAGGUUUGACUCCCAUCAAGGCACAGGUUGCUCAGUCUGCCUGUUUCUCU
rnacentral:lncRNA from 1 species